CGGAAGUGUUGGGUCCCACAGUGUAGAGAAACGACAAGGGAUGUACUUUGGUUGAUCGAUAUGGAGGAUAUCUCCAUAACCCAUGGUAAAGUACAGUAAUAAUCCUUAAGAUCGGCAGACGAAAGAGUUAACUAACUAGCGGACCAAGGUAGAUGAAGACCUGGGUGUCCCAGCUGAUUCCUGACGAUUGAUAGCAGAGUGAGUGUGUGUAUAUUCGCCACAAGGGGAAGAGACUCUGACCAGCAGCGACAGCAGAUACACGUGCGGAGUUCUUGGUGAGUGUGUGGGCGUGUCCUGAGGACGCAACUGCACAGUAGAACAGAAAUAACACAUGGAGAAUGUCUCUCCAGCAUCGGCUUACUGAAGCCAUCCAUCUGCCUUUGCAGCAACAGAGAGGAUCAGGAGGCAGGAGGGACGGGGGAGAAGGAACACAAGUCCUGACAGAAACCUGGAACACAUCUGAACAGAUUCCAAGUCAGCUGCAAGCUAAGAGAUGAAACCCUCUGUGACCAGUACCUGGGGAUGGUGUUUCCGUGAGGGGAAAUCAGAGGUCUAACGUGUUAGUUUGUGGAAUUUCCAUGCUCCAUCAGCUGUGUCCAACGUAACCUAGAUGCAAGUGCAAUGAGCAGUCAGUUUUUAGAAUCGGCCUUAAUAUCGUGUAAAAAAAUUACGUAACAUCAACAGAAGCCAGGAUCAAUGUCAUAAAAUUCCUCAAAAUAGGACACGUCCUGGGACUGAACAUAUGCUGCUUUCAUGCUGAAUUUAUUGCAGUCAGAGCAUGAUGGUGUGGUUGGUUUUUUCCUGUUGACCUAACAUCCCUGUCAUGGACCUGUACACACAUUAACACACUUACAGACAUGCGAGUGUGUAAAGGUGUCUGAAUUCUUGUAUAACAGAAUUUACCAUUAUCUUUUGUUCAACUUACUUUACAUGAAUACACCUUGUACACCAAUGUAAGUGGUCUAUUCUGUUGUCUCACCAUGGCGAGCACUCAUGAAUCUCGAGACCCAUGGACAAUUAUGUGCACUCACAUACUUUUCUACAGAUACAAAUGUCAAAACAGAUAGUCUGUGAGUCUCUCUGCUAACCACUAAUGGCCUGUGUGUUUAUGUGCUAACUGACAUGUAUAUAUGGGAUUUCAAGUAGGGCCCCCUACAUGCACGCAGAUACUUGCUCUCUAUCUUUCUGUACAAGUAUUUCCAGUCUAGAGUCUGGAUUAAUGAAAAGUUAUGAAAAGUUUCUCUUGUAGAAGCCAUGCACAUCUAAACAAGCCACAACUGAUGUUAUCAUGUUUGAUGUUUGUCUGGACUGUUCUUUUCAUGUUCCAGCAGGUAAU